UGAGUUAUAAUCGAUCGUGCUUCUACGGAUUUGAGAGUAAAGCGUGCAAUUUAUUUUCCUUUAUUUAUUUCCCCUUUUAUUCUCUGUUGUUUUUCCAUUCUUUGAUCUCUGUUAAUCCUCUCUUUCGUUUUAUUUAUUCUCUUUCCCUUUCUUGUCCUUUCGUAACAAACCCUAGACACUUCCGCGCCAUCAACACCUUCGGGCGUCUUACCUCCGAUCAAAGUUUUGGGUCACCGAAUGCCAAAAAAAAAACACAGAAAGACGCUACACUAGGUUUUCUCUGCCGUUUCUGGUUUUUAUGAUUUUUUGAAAUUCUUUGCUUCAUCGGAACUGCUUUGAGGUUUCUCUACGAAUGCAUCAUGUGCAAAUUUGAAAGGACAUGCUAAUGUGUUUUUACCAGGGAAGUAUAUCUAACUCCUUGUGCUAUUGCAAAUGGAUAUACCUUCCAAUUUUGGUUUUAUCUUUCCUUUUCUUUCUGCUACUAUCUCAUGCUUUGAGUAGUCUUUACAUACAUGUCACCUUUUAGCCUGUUUUUCUUGCAUAACACAAAUAAUGAGCUAAAACAUACAGGAACAAGCUUAGUUAACAUCUGUAGAUCAAAUGAGAGGGGGAAAUAUAGAAAGUUUGGUUGCAAUUCAACAGACUAAGAUGCUUGUACAUACACUCUCUCAAAACGGUGAUCCUAAGUUUUGGGUUAUUUAAAACUGUUUGGCUGAAUACUUGCAAUGUGUCAAAGAUAGCUCUUAAUGAUAUAAUCGUUACUAUGCAUGAGUUAAUAUAUGCACUUAUGUGCUGUAUGUUUUAGGGCAUGCAGAAUUCAAAAUUUCUUCAAUUUGUAUCCAAGAUGAGUAGUGGCGAACUUAUCAUUGAUGAUAAUCAGGUCAAACCAGGAUCAGAGAACCGGGCAAUAGAAUAUCAGCAACAAUACACUGCAGGUGCUUCUUGGGCUGAUGAAUUUUCCCAUGAUGAAGCAAGUAGAGAUUUUGUGGAAGCUAAAGAAGCUUAUAGAUUAAUAUGUACCGAUAAUCAGUCAUAAAUUCCUUUUAGCAGUUUCCUCCUUUUUUUCUUCUGCCUUGCCUACGUAGACUAAAAUGGAACUAACAUUACUGACCUUAGGUAGUAAUCUCAUUCAUCAACCCUAGGUGGUUGAAACUAGUUUUGAUGAUUUGAGAAUGUCCCAAAUGAUAAUGAUGGUUUGGUUAGUGCUAUUAUCUAUAUAUCUACUAUAAUUUAGCAAAUAAAGUGUGAAUGACUAAUGAUUCUAUAUUGUUACAUCUUCAGUUGAACUUUUAAAUCAACUAAACUUGUAAAUCUUAUAUGAGAUUAUCUAUAUUUGUUUUUUAUAAAA